rnacentral:rRNA from 1 species
UACGUAGGGGCAAGCGUUGUCCGGAUUUAUUGGGCGUAAAGAGCGUGUAGGCGGCUUGGUAGGUCCGCUGUGAAACUCGAGGCUCAACCUCGAGAUGUCGGCGGAAACCACUUGGCUAGAGUCCGGAAGAGGAGAGUGGAAUUUCGGUGUGAGCGGUGAAAUGACGUAGAUAUGUGGAGGAACACCGAUGGCGAAGGCAGCCCUGGUCAAGACUGACGCUCAUGCACGAAGCGUGGGAAGCAACAGG